GUAUGCUCUGCUGGUACGUUUGGCGAAAACUGUGACCAGGACUGCGGUUUCUGUCUCAGCAAUACUGCAUGUGAUGUAAUUAACGGAAUUUGUCCAAAUGGCUGUAAUCCGGGUUACCAGGGAGAUGCAUGUGAUAUAGAAUGUGACGUCACAUCCGUCAACUGUUCUUCAUGCGCUGCUGGAUUUCAAGGAGCCAUGUUCAAAACAGGUGGUAUUGUGGCCGUGUCUGUUUGCGUUUGGUACUUUUCUACUAUUCUUAACAAAGACUAAACAUAUACUAAACCACCUUCUACUAUUUCUUCGGAAGACCGUCCCAUGCCAGUACAAGCUUGAACAAAUGGUUGUUAAAACAAAAGACGAAUUGAUAUUUUCUGGAUUUUAUACUCUGUAAUCAUUUUUAAGAGCGUGAGUUUAACAAUGACAUACUGGCGCUCGAUGCAAUUCCGUUUAUACCAUUUCAAAGAUUUUUAUAUAUAUUCUAGUGAGAAGCCUGAUAUUUACAGUUCAUACAAAAUAAGCAUUACCCAUAGUAAAUAAAUUUAUAUUAAAUGUAUAUAUAUAGCAUAUAUAUGCUUUAUUUUACAUUCAAUCCGUUCAUAUGUUACCCGUGUGUGAUACCUUAAAGUUACAUGAGUUGGUCACCCCGACAGGCGAAAUAAUCAUAGGGUUCAACAAAGAAAAAGACUGGAGUUUCGUAUGUAAAGACUUUACCGAACAACUGUGGAGCACUUUCAGUGAGAAUGACGUCUUUCUAAUUUGAUACCUGCAAGAAUUUGAAAUCCCACUAAUGACGACCUUAUGAAGAUUAUGGACAGACAUGCUCAUAAAUCAUACAUUAGCAUGGUACGAAAGUCAAUGACCAUUGUGACAUGAUUUCUCUAGCAGUAUUACCCACUAGGAUAUAGUCAUCAGCGUUGACUCUGCCGUCUGUGCCUCUGCCAGUGAAAUAUAGAAAAAGCAGCAAUAAAACAUUAUCGUUUAUAACUUAACUGGGAGUUCUUGAACACAGUUUUGGCGGACCAGAUGUAUUUGUUUUUGACGUUGCUUCUUUUAUUUUGUUUGCAAAAGGAGAAUACUAACGAACUAAAGUACAUGUUACAUUUCAUCUUCCAGAUUGUAGUUCAAUGUGCAGUAUUUCAGUGAAAAAAAUGCAGAAAAGACAAAAUAAAUAAGUCUUUUUUUGGUAAAAUUUAAAUUUGCAUAUUAUGCUAGGUGUUUGUUCAAUGUAGGCUCUAGUCUUUUUGUUCAGACUGAAAGUAACAUAGCUUUUACCAAUUAUUCAGUUAGCCUGUGUUUGAUUUUGGAGAGCGGCCAUCUUGCAUACUAAUAUAACCUUUACGACGGCCACGUAUUUAUAGUAAUAUUUCUAAGAAUAUAUAAUACUUUGAAGCUUAUUUAAUUGAAGUACAUCUUGAUGCAUAGUAAAUUUCAGUUAUACCUACAGUUGACUUGGCUCACUCAGACUCGAUGUCGGUAUUAAGAGCCAUGGAACAAAAUGCACUAUAUAGAGAUUUGACGAUGAGUUCGAGCGAAAGGUUGUGUUCGAAAUAUCUGAAAUGUGACUGUACUGUUAUACAUAAA